rnacentral:rRNA from 1 species
ACAAGUACCGUGAGGGAAAGUUGAAAAGCACUUUGAAAAGAGAGUGCAAGAGAACGUGAAAUCGAUGCAAUGGAAGCGGAUGAAUUCGCCGUAUCUAGUGCGUAUUCAGUUGUUGGUGUUCAGGAUCGCGACUUGGCCAUUCCGCAAGGUUGUCCGGGUUGUGUUGUCUUGGGCAUUAAUGAUGCAUUUGCGUACAGAGUGCAAUGAGUCGUUCAGGUUCGCGGAACAAAGUGUUGUUAAGAGGACUCUCCCCGGAGAGAACCCUUGAUGAUGCGGAGGGCUGUUGGACUUGUUCGUUUUGAAUUCAUGGCCUACGACUUUGCUGKGAGUGUUUCAUCGGGCUUGGGUUUAACGCAUGCGUUCAGCUCUUGACUGGUGGAAUGUUGUCAGUACAAGUCACUUGAAUUUUCUCGUUGUAUUGGCGAUCACUCAUCCGACCCGUCUUGAAACACGGACCAAGGAGUUUAUAUUACACGCAAUCUAUUGAGUGUUAAAACUCAAAAGAGCAAUUAAAGUGAAUAACUGUUUACAGCAACGUGAUUGCCGACUCAUUCGUGGGUUGGUACGCAACGUUGCCCCAUUCCAAGAACUUGUUCUGGGGUGGAGGUUGAGCGUGUGAAAUGAGACCCGAAAGAUGGUGAACUAUGCCUGAACAGGAUGAAGCCAGAGGAAACUCUGGUGGAAGUCCGAAGCGGUUCUGACGUGCAAAUCGAUCGUCUGAUUUUGGUAUAGGGGCGAAAGACUAAUCGAACCAUCUAGUAGCUGGUUCCUUCCGA